rnacentral:rRNA from 1 species
UUUUAUUUGAGAGUUUGAUCCUGGCUCAGGAUGAACGCUGGCGGCGUGCCUAACACAUGCAAGUUGAGCGAUUUACUUCGGUAAAGAGCGGCGGACGGGUGAGUAACGCGUGGGUAACCUACCCUGUACACACGGAUAACAUACCGAAAGGUAUGCUAAUACGGGAUAAUAUAUUUGAGAGGCAUCUCUUAAAUAUCAAAGGUGAGCCAGUACAGGAUGGACCCGCGUCUGAUUAGCUAGUUGGUAAGGUAACGGCUUACCAAGGCGACGAUCAGUAGCCGACCUGAGAGGGUGAUCGGCCACAUUGGAACUGAGACACGGUCCAAACUCCUACGGGAGGCAGCA